CUACGGGUUGCAGCAGUGAGGAAUAUUGCGCAAUGGGGGAAACCCUGACGCAGCGACGCCGCGUGGAUGAUGAAGGCCUUCGGGUCGUAAAAUCCUGUCAGAAGGAAAGAAGUAUAUGGUAGCUAAUAUCUGCCAUAUUUGACGGUACCUUCAAAGGAAGCACCGGCUAACUCCGUGCCAGCAGCCGCGGUAAUACGGAGGGUGCAAGCGUUGUUCGGAAUUACUGGGCGUAAAGCGCGCGUAGGCGGCUGUUUAAGUCAGAUGUGAAAGCCCAUGGCUUAACCAUGGACGUGCAUUUGAUACUGGGCAGCUUGAGUACUGGAGGGGGUGGUGGAAUUCCCGGUGUAGAGGUGAAAUUCGUAGAUAUCGGGAGGAAUACCGGUGGCGAAGGCGACCACCUGGCCAGAUACUGACGCUGAGGUGCGAAAGCGUGGGGAGCAAACAGGAUUAGAUACCCCCGUAGUC
rnacentral:rRNA from 1 species